AGUGAACGCUGGCGGUAGGCCUAACACAUGCAAGUCGAACGGCAGCACAGUAAGAGCUUGCUCUUACGGGUGGCGAGUGGCGGACGGGUGAGGAAUACAUCGGAAUCUACUUUUUCGUGGGGGAUAACGUAGGGAAACUUACGCUAAUACCGCAUACGACCUACGGGUGAAAGCAGGGGAUCUUCGGACCUUGCGCGAUUGAAUGAGCCGAUGUCGGAUUAGCUAGUUGGCGGGGCAAAGGCCCACCAAGGCGACGAUCCGUAGCUGGUCUGAGAGGAUGAUCAGCCACACUGGAACUGGGACACGGUCCAGACUCCUACGGGAGGCAGCAGUGGGGAAUAUUGGACAAUGGGCGCAAGCCUGAUCCAGCCAUACCGCGUGGGUGAAGAAGGCCUUCGGGUUGUAAAGCCCUUUUGUUGGGAAAGAAAAGCAGCAGGUUAAUACCCCGCUGUUCUGACGGUACCCAAAGAAUAAGCACCGGCUAACUUCGUG
rnacentral:rRNA from 1 species